AUACUGGUUUCUUUUGAAACCACAUUACAUUACCUGAGACCUUUUCU
rfam:Papio anubis isolate 1X1155 chromosome 4, whole genome shotgun sequence.